UUCCGGUUGAUCCCGCCGGACCCGACUGCUAUCGGAGUGGGACUAAGCCAUGCGAGUCGUGCGUCCCCGGCUGCGGGGGCGCGGCGCACGGCUCAGUAACACGUAGUCAACCUGCCCUGGAGACGCGGAUAAUCCCGGGAAACUGGGGCUAAUCCGCGAUAGGCCUAGGGUGCUGGAAGGCCCCUAGGCCCAAAGGGGCAGGCGGGCAUGCUCCGCCUGUCCGCUCCAGGAUGGGACUUGGGCCGAUCAGGUUGUUGGUGGGGUAAUGGCCCACCAAGCCUAUAACCGGAUACGGGCUCUGAGAGGAGGAGCCCGGAGAUGGGCACUGAGACAAGGGCCCAGGCCCUACGGGGCGCAGCAGGCGCGAAACCUCCACAAUGCGCGAAAGCGCGAUGGUGUCACUCCGAGAUGCCGCCCGACAUGAGGGCGGCUUUUCCCGGGCCUAAAAAGNCCGGGGAUAUAAGGGGAGGGCAAGCCUGGAUGUCAGCCGCCGCGGUAAUACCAGCUCCCCGAGUGGUCGGGANGAUUAUUGGGCCUAAAGCAUCCGUAGCCGGCCCGGUAGGUCUCCUUGUUAAAGUCCAACGGCUCAACCGUUGGGCCGCANGGAAUACCGACGGGUCUAGGGGGCGGGAGAAGCGGACGGUAUUCCGCGGGUAAUGGUAAAAUCCUCUGUAUCCGCGGAGGACCACCAGUGAGCGAACGCGGUCCGCCAGAACGCGCCCGACGGUGAGGGAUGAAAGCUGGGGCGAGCGAACCGGAUUAGAUACCCCGGGUAGUCCCAGCAUGUAAACGAUGCGGCUAAGUACUUGAAGGGCUGCGGGCCCUUCAGUGCGCA
rnacentral:rRNA from 1 species